CCGCGGAUUUGCGGGUUGACCCG
rnacentral:siRNA from 1 species